GGACUAAGCGGCGCGAUACCAACAUCCUUGACCGCGCCCCUAGGUCUCAACCCGAGGACAGAACUCUGGCUCGUCUUCUAAACCCGCCGCCGCCCGUCCUGGGGACCGCCGCCGCGCGUCAUCCGCUCGCCACCCAGUGGUUUUGUAGUCAUGGUGGGAUGGCAAAGGUAUCUGCGCUCUGUCCUUCGCCAUGCUGCCACCAGGGUGGAGCAAAAUCGUGGAUCAUGUGCCUUUCCAUAUAGCACCUGUCCAAAGCCUUCUCCAUUACCAGGCCACUGUAAACAUCCGUGGAGAUUAUCUGAUCGUUCUACCAGAAGAACCACACCUUUCUAUCAAUACCUGCAA